CAGAUGGGUGACAUCACGGAUACUACGUCCAUAUUUUUUACAGUCUAUGGUGGAAACUGGGAGAGAGUGGGGGAAAAAAUGCGGUAAGAAAGUCACAGGCUGGACUCGAACCCAGGUCUGUUGAUUCACAGGCGUGCAACUUAACCAUUCGGCUAAGUCCGCAGCUGAUUCGAAACUGGUCCGCAACACCGCCAGACCCAAUCCUCCUCUUUCUAGCUGGCUGGCUCCGUCUUACCUGUCCUUCUCUCCUCACUCCCUCACUCAACCUGCACCCAGCCCCUAAAGACGAGGAGCAGUUUAGGCUGUGGCUGAAGGCGCCGAACCUCAAGUGCCCACCUAAGCGCCCGUAUGUGUGCUCGUUUGAUUUCGUGGACGGGAAGCCGACAGAUGAGUACCCUUACCCCGAGAAAUGGCUCGGCUAUGAUGCUCCAGUAAAGAAGCCCCUGCUCUGUAGAGGUUCUCAGAUAUGGAUGCAUCAGUGAGAGUCAGCGAAGCAGUGGACAACUGCGAGGAGGACCAGAUUGCCAUGCCCACACGCUGCGAUGUGGAAACUCAGUGGGAGGAUCUGCGCGUCUCUGACCACAGCUAUGGUUUAAAAGCAUCGCUCCACCUGAAGCCACUGACAUACGAUAUCGGAACACGGUGCGCUGAGCCAGCUGCGUUGUAGAGAUCAAAGAGAUCGUCGUGGACGUCAGGAGAGGCCGACAGCAGCACCUCCCACUGACCAUCAACGGCGCUGCUGUGGAGAGGAGGCACCAUCGAGAGCGUCCUCACUGGCUGCGUC